AACAGGAUUAGAUACCCUGCGUAGUCCACGCCCUAAACGAUGUCAACUAGUUGUCGGGUCUUAAUUGACUUGGUAACGCAGCUAACGCGUGAAGUUGACCGCCUGGGGAGUACGGUCGCAAGAUUAAAACUCAAAGGAAUUGACGGGGACCCGCACAAGCGGUGGAUGAUGUGGAUUAAUUCGAUGCAACGCGAAAAACCUUACCUACCCUUGACAUGGCAGGAAUCCUGGAGAGAUCCGGGAGUGCUCGAAAGAGAACCUGCACACAGGUGCUGCAUGGCUGUCGUCAGCUCGUGCCGUGAGACGUUGGGUUAAGUCCCGCAACGAGCGCAACCCUUGUCAUUAGUUGCUACGAAAGGGCACUCUAAUGAGACUGCCGGUGACAAACCGGAGGAAGGUGGGGAUGACGUCAAGUCCUCAUGGCCCUUAUGGGUAGGGCUUCACACGUCAUACAAUGGUACAUACAGAGGGCCGCCAACCCGCGAGGGGGAGCUAAUCCCAGAAAGUGUAUCGUAGUCCGGAUUGGAGUCUGCAACUCGACUCCAUGAAGUUGGAAUCGCUAGUAAUCGCGGAUCAGCAUGUCGCGGUGAAUACGUUCCCGGGUCUUGUACACACCGCCCGUCACACCAUGGGAGCGGGUUUUACCAGAAGUAGGUAGCUUAACCGCAAGGAGGGCGCUUACCACGGUAGGAUUCGUGACUGGGGUGAAGUCGUAACAAGGUAACC
rnacentral:rRNA from 1 species